AUAAUUAUAUUUUUCUCAAUUACUUUUUCAUUUUUUGGGUUGUAUUUCUUUUUCGUUUUUACCUUGUCGAUUUCUGUGUAUAAUGAGAAAAUGAAAACUCUCAUACCGGAUGAUUAAUGCUUUUUCUAUCGAGGGGUGUAUGAGAAGAAGUUCAUUUUUUCUUGUCUACGUAGACAUUGAAAAAGUUUUAAAGAAAGAAAUAUGGAAAUCUAGAAAUGAGGCAACGUAAGAUUAAAAAAGUUUAGUAAAUCAACCUUGCCACUUGAACAAGGGCUAGUUUGGGAACAGACCUAGAAAGCUAAGUUCAUUCAGGACGAGGACAAAAAUU
rnacentral:lncRNA from 1 species